rnacentral:rRNA from 1 species
UAACACCUGGAAACAGAUGCUAAUACCGGAUAACAACAGAUGAUGCCUAUCAACUGUUUAAAAGAUGGUUCUGCUAUCACUCUUGGAUGGACCUGCGGUGCAUUAGCUAGUUGGUAGGGUAACGGCCUACCAAGGCGAUGAUGCAUAGCCGAGUUGAGAGACUGAUCGGCCACAUUGGGACUGAGACACGGCCCAAACUCCUACGGGAGGCAGCAGGU